CUCAGGGAGGUAGUGACAAGAAAUAACAACACUGGAAAUUUUAUUUCUAGUGAUUGGAAUGAUGGGAAUUUAAACCCCUUUCAGAGUAACAAUUGGAGGGCAAGUCUGGUGCCAGCAGCCGCGGUAAUUCCAGCUCCAAUAGCGUAUAUUAAAGUUGUUGCAGUUAAAAAGCUCGUAGUUGGAUGUCUGCUGGAAGCAAUCAGUCCGCCCUAUUUGUAGGGUGUGCACUUGAUGAAUUCUGGCAUCUAUGUCCUAAUGUGAUAGAUACGGCGGUGUAUAUGGGUUAAUCCUAUAUACCCGUUUUUGUAUAUUAUAUUGGGAUAAUACCGUUACUUUGAGAAAAUUAGAGUGUUUGAAGCAGGCUAAUUGCCUUGAAUACUGCAGCAAGGAAUAACAAUAUAGGAUUUCGGUUCUAUUUUGUUGGUUUCUAGGGCUGAAAUAAUGAUUAAUAGGGACAGUUGGGGGCAUUCGUAUUUAACUGUCAGAGGUGAAAUUCUUAGAUUUGUUAAAGACGAACUACUGCGAAAGCAUUUGCCAAAGAUGUUUUCAUUAAUCAAGAACGAAAGUUAGGGGCUCGAAGACGAUCAGAUACCGUCGUAGUCUUAACCAUAAACUAUGCCGACUAGAGAUAGGAAAAUGUCAUUUUUCUGACUU
rnacentral:rRNA from 1 species